UAUAAACCUGUGAAGAGGCUAAGUAGUUUUAAUUAGGUUUUUAGAGAGUCAGUGGUUGGUGUAAACUGAUAAUUCUAAUUAUUACGAAUCCACCUUGGAGGGACUGUGAAUUAAGCAGUACGGGAAACCGUUAAAUUUUUGAGUGGAUAAAGCAUAUGCUUUAUCAAUUAGGGUGGCAACGCGGAGUCUUUCGUCCCUUUU
rnacentral:ncRNA from 1 species